CUUCUAAGACAUUCCCGUUUGGAAGUUUGUCUUUUGCUUGGCACAAAAUGGCCUACUGGGCAAAGAACUGCCCUUGCCUUGACUGCUGACAGUAUGACUACUGUCCUUUCUGAAUGAGCGAGACACAAGGAAAAGUGACUACUUAACUCUACUGUCUAAGACAGGGUUGCAUGGCUUUAAAAAAGACACAGCAUUUGGAAAUAUAGGCAGUUGUUAUUGACUUUGCAAUGGAUUAUCUCUAAGGCAAAGGAAAACCUCAAAGAAUUCCCAUUAAAUAUCCAAACAAGCAUUAGCAUUUAAAAAUCAAGAAGUGAAAGAGAUCUUGACACCAACGAGGGAAUGUGUUUGCCUCAGCACAAAGGAAGUAAGAAGUGCAUUAAAGGACACAGGGUGUCCUACUGUAGACAGUGAUGUACCUCCAGCUCUCCCUGCAGAAAGGGACUCGCCGGAGCCAGCACUGGUGCUUCUACCUGGUGGUGUUUCACGGACCCUCUCAGUUACUGAGUGCCAUUCCACUGAAUACACACCUUUCUCAAUGUAACAUGACUCCAAUGCUUGAGACCGGCGCAUAAAGGCCUGAUGUGUAUGGUCAAAACCAGAAAAAGUGACAAGUCAUUUUAGUUUCAUAGCUCUUCACACAGGUGCUACCAGCACAGCACACUGCCAUACAUGUUGUACUUCUCCAUGUGUCCUAUCUACUCCCCUAUCCUACCUCUUCACCCCAGGGGUACCUCCUAAUAAAUGUGCUGCCUAAUAAAC